rnacentral:rRNA from 1 species
UCGAGCGACCGAUUGAGAGCUUGCUCUCAAGAAGUUAGCGGCGGACGGGUGAGUAACACGUGGGUAACCUGCCCAUAAGACUGGGAUAACUCCGGGAAACCGGGGCUAAUACCGGAUAACAUUUUGAACUGCAUGGUUCGAAAUUGAAAGGCGGCUUCGGCUGUCACUUAUGGAUGGACCCGCGUCGCAUUAGCUAGUUGGUGAGGUAACGGCUCACCAAGGCAACGAUGCGUAGCCGACCUGAGAGGGUGAUCGGCCACACUGGGACUGAGACACGGCCCAGACUCCUACGGGAGGCAGCAGUAGGGAAUCUUCCGCAAUGGACGAAAGUCUGACGGAGCAACGCCGCGUGAACGAUGAAGGCCUUCGGGUCGUAAAGUUCUGUUGUUAGGGAAGAACAAGUAUAAGUUGAAUAAGCUUGUACCUUGACGGUACCUAACCAGAAAGCCACGGCUAACUACGUGCCAGCAGCCGCGGUAAUACGUAGGUGGCAAGCGUUAUCCGGAAUUAUUGGGCGUAAAGCGCGCGCAGGUGGUUUCUUAAGUCUGAUGUGAAAGCCCACGGCUCAACCGUGGAGGGUCAUUGGAAACUGGGAAACUUGAGUGCAGAAGAGGAAAGUGGAAUUCCAUGUGUAGCGGUGAAAUGCGUAGAGAUAUGGA